rnacentral:tRNA from 1 species
UAAGGUCUUAGCUUAAUUAAAGCAGUUGAGUUGCAAUUAGCAGAUGUAAAUUAGAGUUUUACAGGCCUU